rnacentral:misc_RNA from 1 species
GAUGAAGAACGCAGCGAAAUGCGUUAAGUAAUGUGAAUUGCAGAAUUCAGUGAAUCAUCGAAUCUUUGAACGCACAUUGCGCCCGCCAGUAUUCUGGCGGGCAUGCCUGUUCGAGCGUCAUUACAACCCUCAGGCCCCCGGGCCUGGCGUUGGGGAUCGGCGGAAGCCCCCUGCGGGCACAACGCCGUCCCCCAAAUACAGUGGCGGUCCCGCCGCAGCUUCCAUUGCGUAGUAGCUAACACCUCGCAACUGGAGAGCGGCGCGGCCACGCCGUAAAACACCCAACUUCUGAAUGUUGACCUCGAAUCAGGUAGGAAUACCCGCUGAACUUAAGCAUAUCAAUAAGCGGAGGA